rnacentral:rRNA from 1 species
UACGUAGGUGGCAAGCGUUGUCCGGAUUUACUGGGCGUAAAGAGCGCGCAGGCGGUCGGAUAAGUCGAAUGUGAAAGCCCCCGGCUCAACUGGGGAGGGUCACGCGAUACUGGUCGACUCGAAGGCAGGAGAGGGUAGUGGAAUUCCCGGUGUAGUGGUGAAAUGCGUAGAUAUCGGGAGGAACACCAGUGGCGAAGGCGACUACCUGGCCUGUUCUUGACGCUGAGGCGCGAAAGCUAGGGGAGCAAACGGG